rnacentral:rRNA from 1 species
AUUGAACGCUGGCGGCAGGCCUAACACAUGCAAGUCGAACGAGUGGCGGACGGGUGAGUAAUGUCUGGGAAACUGCCUGCUGGAGGGGGAUAACUACUGGAAACGGUAGCUAAUACCGCAUACCAUCAGAUGUGCCCAGAUGGGCUUAGCUAGUUGGUGGGGUAACGGCUCACCAAGGCGACGAUCCCUAGCUGGUCUGAGAGGAUGACCAGCCACACUGGAACGGAGACACGGUCCAAACUGCUAGGGGAGGCAGCAGUGGGGAAUAUUGAACAAUGGGCGUAAGCCUGAUGCAGCCAUGCCGAGUGUAUGAAAGAGGCCUUCGGGUUGUAAAGUACUUUCAGCGGGGAGGCGUUAACCGCAGAAGAAGCACCGGCUAAAUCGGUGCCAGCAGCCGCGGUAAUAC